rnacentral:rRNA from 1 species
GUAGGGAAUAUUGGGCAAUGGAUGCAAGUCUGACCCAGCCAUCCCGCGUGUCGGAAGAAGGCCCUCAGGGUUGUAAACGGCUUUUGACGGUGAAGAAUCGACAGGAUGCGUCCUGUUUUGACGGUAGCCGUUGAAUAAGCACCGGCUAACUCCGUGCCAGCAGCCGCGGUAAUACGGAGGGUGCGAGCGUUGUCCGGAUUUAUUGGGUUUAAAGGGUGCGUAGGCUGGAAGGUCAGUCAGCGGUGAAAAGCUGUCGCUUAACGAUAGUCUUGCCGCAGAUACUUCCUUUCUUGGAUGAGGAGGAGGCCACUGGAACGGAUGGUGUAGCGGUGAAAUGCAUAGAUAUCAUCCAGAACACCGAUUGCGAAGGCAGGUGGCUGUACCUUAAUCGACGCUGAUGCACGAAAGCAUGGGGAGCAAACAGGAUUAGAUACCCGUGUAGUCC